rnacentral:rRNA from 1 species
UGCAGGCCUAACACCUGCAAGUCGAACGGUAACAGGAAGCAGCUUGCUGCUUCGCUGACGAGUGGCGGACGGGUGAGUAAUGUCUGGGAAACUGCCUGAUGGAGGGGGAUAACUACUGGAAACGGUAGCUAAUACCGCAUAACGUCGCAAGACCAAAGAGGGGGACCUUCGGGCCUCUUGCCAUCGGAUGUGCCCAGAUGGGAUUAGCUAGUAGGUGGGGUAACGGCUCACCUAGGCGACGAUCCCUAGCUGGUCUGAGAGGAUGACCAGCCACACUGGAACUGAGACACGGUCCAGACUCCUACGGGAGGCAGCAGUGGGGAAUAUUGCACAAUGGGCGCAAGCCUGAUGCAGCCAUGCCGCGUGUAUGAAGAAGGCCUUCGGGUUGUAAAGUACUUUCAGCGGGGAGGAAGGCGAUAAGGUUAAUAACCUUGUCGAUUGACGUUACCCGCAGAAGAAGCACCGGCUAACUCCGUGCCAGCAGCCGCGGUAAUACGGAGGGUGCAAGCGUUAAUCGGAAUUACUGGGCGUAAAGCGCACGCAGGCGGUCUGUCAAGUCGGAUGUGAAAUCCCCGGGCUCAACCUGGGAACUGCAUUCGAAACUGGCAGGCUAGAGUCUUGUAGAGGGGGGUAGAAUUCCAGGUGUAGCGGUGAAAUGCGUAGAGAUCUGGAGGAAUACCGGUGGCGAAGGCGGCCCCCUGGACAAAGACUGACGCUCAGGUGCGAAA